AUACGUGCACACAGUUCUUGGCGCCAAUAACAAUAUUCUAUCAUCACCACUUGUGUUUUUAAUGUUAUCGAGGCUCGGGAGACAAGUGGGUAAAAUCUCGUCGUCUUAUCUGAAUAUCCUUAUCGGAAUUUUAUUAUGCUAAGUUUCAGAACCCUUAAAAAAUAAGGAGAUAUGCACGACUCCCACAAACUGUGUAAAGGAAGGAGAGAAACAAGUUUUGUUGGUAAAGGAAGGUUGCUCUUUAAUAGAGGAGGCCUCUACCAAUAUGAGAACAAUUUCCCCUCUCUUCGCUCUGUAAUAGCAAACGAGACGAAGGAUAUAUCGCAUCGCUGUGGUUUACGCAGGCAGAGAGAGACACAUCCUUUGUACGAAAGUUGGUUGGUCGAUAUAGCGAGCAAGAAUAUAGUCAACGUCCUGUUUUUACUCGUAGCCGCUUGUUAGUUCGAACCCGUCGUCGUCUCGCCCUCGAUCCACGUCCAGUUUCGAUGUGGAAAAAGCUGCAGGUCUUUGGGAGGAGGAAGGGUGCCUACGACGAGGGCGAGUCGAUACUGCUGUGAACGAAGUCCUCAUGUAAACGGUUGAACAAAGGAACAAGACCAACAAGCCAGUUGCAUUGGUUAGGGUCAGGUUUCUGGGAAGGGAGAAGGACUGGAAAUUCUGUACGUACGGUAGCAGAGAGAGAGAGACGAGAGACCGUUUACGUAUAUGACCAUCCGAGGUGGACCCCUUGAAAAUGGGGCUGGUUUGUCGUGUAGGAAGUGAAAUGACGAAACUCGUCUCUCUUUUGGAAUAAUUGGGCAUAAUCAAAUACAAGUUGUUGAUAUGGAUAUGCUUCCCAGCUAGGAAGAAAACCAGUACAAAUCAAUGGAACCCUUGACACAAUUUAUCGACUCAAACAACUCGAAUGAUUAUUGGGCAGGGUGGAUGUGGUGUGUUUGAGCGUUGUUUUUGUGAUAUUAUGGAUGUUGAGAAGAGUUAAUUUCAUAAUUCGGGCAUCUAUCUACCUUAACACAGUCUGAAACAAACUAUGUAAAUAUCAUCCAAGUAAUAUCGUAAUGAAGUGCGAUCAUGUACUGUAUUUUCAUGCACUUUGUACAAAUAGAAGAAUGCGUAAAAUUUUCCAUUGUUAACUCCUUAAAAGAAGGGGCAUGAUUUCUACGUUUUCAUUUACAGAAUGAAUUCCUCUCUUUUAGCUCAGUCCUCUCGCCGUCGUCAUUGUCAGUUGUCUGCUGCUUGGUUGAUUCGGAGAAAACAAGGGAAUUAAGGACACCGCAGAUACGAAAUGCUGAGUGGGGGCAAGGCCAUUUUCAAGUUCAGCAUCACUGCAACCAGUCAACCAGUAUGAACACCGGUCUCUGAGAAAGACACACACAGGUAGGCUACACAGGUACUUAUUGUACCUUUGCCACCUCUUCGUCGUCCUCUGGGGUGGCUUCAUUCAGCUCAAAACUCUCCAGAACUCACGAAAUCCCAAGAAGCACAAGUUGAAGAGAGAGAGAGAAGAACAAAGAAGAACGACAUCAAACAUACCAACCAACCAGGCAACCUUAGGGCUUAAGAAUAUAUUUAUAUGUGAACGAAUCUGGGCCAGACGUGUGUACGUAUCUCUCAACUCCAAACAAUUUAUUCUUACCGUGAGAUAGUUGAGCUGUCAUGGGCUGCAGCCUUUACAAUUUUCAAAGAAAUGUCUGAUCCAAGACACUUCUUGCGCAAUUUAUAAUUUAAAACUUUUCAGAGACGACUAAUAAUUAUAAAAUAAAUGACUAGAUCCAACCACUCGCCCACUUGUAUCAAUAAAAAUUCCAAGUAAAUCUCGAGGAAAAUGCGAUGAUAUGCAUGCACUACCUGGAAAAUGGGAGACAAAGAAAACUCAGAACAACCAUCAUCACUUUAUUAUUUGCUCCUUUCUAGUUUUUGCUCAGAUCGGAUCUAAAAUUGCUGUAUAUUUAACCAUUUCAAAAUCGUUUACCAAAAUCCUCCCCACUAUUAUUAGAACAGGACUGCAGGGCCAUAAACGUUUCUCUGGAAUGCCAUACCCUGCAAAAGAACCUAGGUCAAAGUUAACCGUGGAAGAAUAAAUUGUGGGAUGGAUGAUGGAUUGGAUACGUUACGAUUUUGCCAUUAUUUUUACCUAUGUGCCUGCCAACCCAUGCAACUCGUACGACGCCCAAAUUCUUGUGAAAAGUUGACUCAUAUCCUGAUUCUACCACAGAGAUCUUUGCAUGAUUACACAUCACUCCCAAGUUCCCAGCCCAACUCUUUGCAUCAUCUCAACGUGCAGCCAGGUCUGGUAUUUACAUGUGGAGAAAGAACAAGAAAAGGAAUCUGGACAUGAGCAUUAGUGUGUGUAGAGUAAUAGUAGUCGUAGUAAUAGUAGGAGUUCAAUCUGUUUCUAAAUCUGCAUUCCAAUACUCUUCUCCUCCUUUGUUCAUGACGUCUACCUCAAUCAUGUAAUGCACUCCUUGAUCCAUGAGCACGUCAUUAUUCUCGAGAAGAAAACUGGGCUGGUGCAGGAGAGAAGGAUUCAUAAAAAGCUAGAUCUCUACAAUAUUUAUAAGCUUAUUUUACUUAUUUUUUAUUCAGAUGGAAUAUGCAGCGAUGAUUGGCCAAAUUAAAAUACUUAUCACUACCCAAGAACACUUUUCGCUAGUCAAGGAUGAAGUUGACGCCGACAGAGAGCCAAAAAUGGAGCGUCACACCGCUACUGCUUCUCAUGACAUUUACCACUGAGUGAUGUUGUUACCUUCAAAACCUACCGACAGACAAGCGAUGGAAAUACAGAUCUUGUCGAAUAUCUACCGAGUCUCUCCUCGUCCCAUAACAAUAAUCAACAACGUGGAGUUAUACUUUAUAGUCAGUCAGCAGAGUGUGCAUCUCGUCAUUUUGAAAUUUAUUAGGCUUUGUCCUUGUAUCGUAUUGAGAAACUAUUAUUAUUACCAUUCAAAAUACUUUCCUCCUGCCUUGUUGCCGCAAUAUUGACAGAUUUCUUCUUUGUGGUGAUUUACAAUUCAAACCAAACUCACUGACAAUUCUACAGGAAUGUAUUUUCCCCCAUGUCGCACGUCGUCGUCGUCGGUAUAAUGAUGCAAUCACGUAUGUAUGUACAUAUGCUUUCUUAUCUGUCUAAAUCGUUACACAAAAUUCAAUGUUGACCUUUAUGAAAGUACCGUCUUUAGUGAAGGGUUAGUGAAAAUAAAUGCUGUAUAGUUUACUUUGGA